AAAUGGAAACAGCAGUAGUUCCAGAAGAAUUUAGACCCAAUAAAAACACUAUUAACUUCACAAUCAAUGGAAGCUCGUACGUCGUACCAGGAUGCGUACCGAUGCCAACUGACACGUCCCUCAAUGUCUACAUUCGCGAUUAUGCGAAACUUCGUGGCACAAAAGCCAUGUGCCACGAAGGUGGCUGCGGCGCCUGUAUCGUGGCUGCAAAAAUCAAGGGCAAAACAAUGGCUGUAAAUUCUUGUC